rnacentral:rRNA from 1 species
UACAGAGGGGGCAAGCGUUGUUCGGAAUUACUGGGCGUAAAGGGCGCGUAGGCGGCCUGUUAAGUCGAACGUGAAAUCCCCGGGCUCAACCCGGGAACUGCGUCCGAUACUGGCAGGCUUGAAUCCGGGAGAGGGAUGUGGAAUUCCAGGUGUAGCGGUGAAAUGCGUAGAUAUCUGGAGGAACACCGGUGGCGAAGGCGGCAUUCUGGACCGGUAUUGACGCUGAGGCGCGAAAGCCAGGGGAGCAAACGGG